GAUGCAAAAAAAAAAAAAAAAACAAUAGUAGGAUAAAAGGGAGGCAGAGAAGCAAGGAGAUAUACAUAGCUAAAGGAGAAUCAAGAACAGCAGAAAGAGAAAAGAGGGAGAUAGAGGUAAAGUAGAAAGAAGGCAGUAACACUGAAGGGAAAGCAUGAGCAGUAGUAGAAUAAGAGGGAGGUAGAGAAACGAUGCAGUAAGACAUAGAGGAAAUCAAGAACACUAGGAAAAGAGAAGAGAGAGGCAAAGUAGCAAUGAGGUAAUGAAACUGAAGGGGAAGCAAGAACAAUAGAAGAAUAAGAGAGAGGAAGAGAAACAAAGAGGUAAGACUGAAGAGGGAACAGUAACAGUAGGAGAAGAGGGAGAUACAAAUAAACUAUGCAUGACUGUAUUCUUAAAUGUUUUGCUCUUUCAUCAGGACUACUUUUGAAGGCUACAUAGAUAACAUACGAACAUUAAUAGAAUAUACGGAAAACUACACGAAGCCGUUAGAGUUCCAGGUGGCAGUCGCUGUGUGAAAGCUAUACUAGUACUUUGAUUAAUGAGGUACUGAAAGAUGGUGCAGAUUCCCUAAGAAAGCAUCAAUACAAUCGUGAAAAAUACUCUCGAAAAUCACACUACUUUCCACUACAGCCUGCCAAAAGUAGUCGUGAUAGAAAGAGAGUAAAAGAUGGGAAGGAAAAAAAAAAAUAGAGGAUAGAAUAGGAAGAGAAAUGACGCUACGAGAAUAAAUAUCUACUUUGUCGUAAUAAAGGAAGGCCGGUGAAAGUAUAGCGAUAAAGGUGAUGAUAACAAAAACAAAAGGGGUCAAGAGGUACGACAAACAGAUAGCGAGGAAAGUUUAUCUUGUGGUGAGUUAUUAUUAUCCUCAUUAUUAACGCUAGGCUGAGAGAGAGAGAGAGAGAGAGAGAGAGAGAGAGAGAGAGAGAGAGAGAGAGAGAGAGAGAGAGAGAGAGAGAGAGAGAGAGAGAGUUGUGGACCUAUCUACUAUAUAAUAAGAAGCAAUGAAAGAGAUGAUAGUACAAUAAACAGGAAAUAGAGAAUGAAGCAAGUGAUGAACGAUAAAGAAGAAUAAAAUGAUGAUGAUAAUAUUGAUAAAAUAAAAACAAUAACGAUAAAACAGGAAACAAAGAAAGAGAAGCGAUAAAGCAGAGUGAAUGAUAGAUAGUAAAGUGUAAGGACAAUAAUGCAGAGAGAGA